GCUUAUGCCAAGUUCUCUGGCGCACCCUUGAAAGUCAAUGUCAUAGAUAAGACCUGGAGAGGUUCAAGAGGUGAUGUACCAAUUUUGACAACUGAAGACAACAUUGUUUCCCAGCCUGCAAAAAUACUAAACUUUUUAAGAAAACAGAAAUACAAUGCUGACUGUGAACUCUCAGCAAAACAAGGGGCAGACACCCUGGCAUACAUUGCCCUCCUGGAAGAGAAACUUCUCCCUGCAGUGCUUCAUACUUUCUGGGUUGAGAAUGACAAUUAUUUUACUGUGACAAAGCCGUGGUUUGCCUCCCGUAUCCCCUUCCCUCUAAGUUUAAUCUUGCCUGGAAGGAUGUCUAGAGGAGCUCUGAAUAGAAUUCUCUUGACAAGGGGAGAACCGCCCCUCUACCACGUCAAUGAAGUGGAAGCAAAGAUAUACAGAGAUGCCAAGGAGUGCCUAAAUCUCCUGUCAAACAGACUGGGAACAUCUCAGUUUUUCUUUGGUGACACGCCUUCCACCUUGGAUGCCUACGUCUUUGGUUUCCUUGCACCUCUUUAUAAAGUGCAUUUCCCCAAAGUUCACUUACAAGAGCAUCUGAAACAGCUUUCCAACCUGUGCCGACUCUGCGAUGACAUCCUAAACAGCUACUUUAGGCAUGGGCCUGUGGCUUCAAGACCUGGUGGUUUGCCGGUUCCAUCUGCUGCCGUGUUCUUAUUUACCCGGAGAAAGCGCCAUCUGACCCCCAUCAUCCUCUGGACUUCACGAGUUCCCUGUAUCUUCUUUAUAAGUAUUGCCCCCCUUGAGUGAGUCCUCUUCUUCUAAAAGACUAAACCACGUGUGUUGAGUCCCCGAUGAAAAGUAGUGUUUAUCCUUGUGCAAAUGGGCAGUUGCUUUAAUUGAUUCUUACCUGCUGCUUCCAGCAUUUUCCUCCAUGAACAGAAAUCAGUAGCAGAUUGACUUUGGUGAGGUACACUCCCAUGAUUCCACUACUUGAAAACUGAUUGCACCAAAACUGGACAUAUAGCAUCUCUCCAGCUGGACAAGAAAUGAUAGACGCAAACCUGCAGAAACUCACACAACUUGUAAAUAAGGAAUCCAACUUAAUUGAAAAGAUGGAUGACAAUCUCCGCCAAAGCCCUCAGCUACUUCCUCGGAAGCUGCCAACC